GUAGUCUGCAACUCGACUACAUGAAGCUGGAAUCGCUAGUAAUCGCGAAUCAGAAUGUCGCGGUGAAUACGUUCCCGGGUCUUGUACACACCGCCCGUCACACCAUGGGAGUUGGUAACGCCCGAAGUCAGUGACCUAACCGAGAGGGAGGAGCUGCCGAAGGCGGGACUGAUAACUGGGGUGAAGUCGUAACAAGGUACC
rnacentral:rRNA from 1 species